AUGGCCUCGAGCUCCCUCCCGCUCCUCGCCCUCCUGGCCCUGCUGGCCCUGCCAGGGCUCCGGGCGGCCGUGACCCUGCUGGAGUGCGGGGGGGACCUCCAGCCCCCUGGGGGGUCCCUGACUCUGCUCUGCCGCGCCUCCGGGUUCAAUUUCGGAAGCUCCUACAUGAGCUGGGUUCGGCAGAGUCCCGGAAAGGCGCUGGAAUGGCUCGCAGAGAUCAGCAGCAGUGGUGGCAGCACCGCCUAUGCGCCAUCAGUCAAGGGUCGGUUCACGAUCUCCAGGGACAACGGGCAGAGUUCGGUGACGCUGACCAUGAACAACCUCAAGGACGAGGAUUCCGCCGUUUAUUUCUGUGCCAAGGAUGCUUAUGGUGCUGGUGGUUACUAUGCUGGUGCUCAUUAUGUUGAUGGGCUCCGGGAGGCCAUGACCCUGCUGGAGUGUGGGGGGGACCUCCAGUCCCUCAGGGGGUCCCUGACUCUGCUCUGCCGUGGGAAUGGAUUCGAUUUUGGGAGUUUCACAAUGUUGUGGGUCCGCCAAAGACCCGGGAAGUCGCUGGAAUACAUCGCAGGGAUCAGCUACGGUGGCAGUACCAACUACGCGCCAUCGUUUCUCUGA